rnacentral:lncRNA from 1 species
CUACCCGACUUCAAACUACACUACAGGGCUACAGUAACCAGAACAGCAUGGUACUGGUACAAGAACAGACACAUAGAGCAAUGGAGCAGAAUAGAGAACCCACCAGAAAUAAGACCUCAUACCUACAACUAUCUGAUCUUCAACAAGCCUGAGGAAAACAAGCAAUGGGGAAAGGAUUUCCUAUUCAAGAAAUGGUGCUGGGAGAACUGGCUAGCCAUAUGCAGAAGGUUGAAACUGGAACUCUUCCUUACACCAUAUACAAAAAUUAACUUAAGAUGUAUUAAAGACUUAAAUGUAAAACGCAAAACUAUAAAAACCCUGGAAGACAACUUAGGCAAUACUACUCAGGACAUAGGCAUCGGCAAAAGUAAUUGCAACAAAAGCAAAAAUUGACAAAUGGGAUCUAAUUAAACUAAAGAGCUUCUGCACAGCAAAAGAAACUAUCAGCAGAGUGGACAGACAACAUACAGAAUGGGAGAAAAGUUUUGUAAACUAUGCAUCCAACAAAGGUCUGAUAUCCAGCAUCUAUAAGAAACUUAAACAAAUGUACAAGAAAAAAACGAACAACUCCAUAAAAAAGUGGGCAAAGGGCAUGAACGGACACUUCUCAAAAGAAGACAUACAUGUAGCCAACAGUCAUAUGAAAAACAGCUCAACAUCACUGAUCAUUAGAGAAAUGCAAAUCAAGACCACAAUGACCAUCCCACACCAGUCAGAAUAGCUAUUAUUAAAAAGUCAAAAACUAACAGAUGCAGGUUGUGGAGAAAAAGGAACGUUUAUACACUGUUGGCGGGAGUGUAAAUUAGUUCAACCAUUGUGGAAGACAGUGUGGCAAUACCUCAAAGACCCAAAG